UUUAUGGAGAGUUUGAUCCUGGCUCAGGAUGAACGCUGGCGGCGUGCCUAAUACAUGCAAGUCGAGCGAACGGACGAGAAGCUUGCUUCUCUG
rnacentral:rRNA from 1 species